rnacentral:ribozyme from 1 species
ACACGUUGCAACGUGUAUAAAUAGCCCUUUAGGUUGCAAGCGUCCAUCCCUUCGGGGAUGGGGUAGGG